rnacentral:rRNA from 1 species
UAGAGUUUGAUCCUGGCUCAGAUUGAACGCUGGCGGCGGCCUAACACAUGCAAGUCGAGCGGAUGAAAGGAGCUUGCUCCUGGAUUCAGCGGCGGACGGGUGAGUAAUGCCUAGGAAUCUGCCUGGUAGUGGGGGACAACGUUUCGAAAGGAACGCUAAUACCGCAUACGUCCUACGGGAGAAAGCAGGGGACCUUCGGGCCUUGCGCUAUCAGAUGAGCCUAGGUCGGAUUAGCUAGUUGGUGAGGUAAUGGCUCACCAAGGCGACGAUCCGUAACUGGUCUGAGAGGAUGAUCAGUCACACUGGAACUGAGACACGGUCCAGACUCCUACGGGAGGCAGCAGUGGGGAAUAUUGGACAAUGGGCGAAAGCCUGAUCCAGCCAUGCCGCGUGUGUGAAGAAGGUCUUCGGAUUGUAAAGCACUUUAAGUUGGGAGGAAGGGCAGUAAAUUAAUACUUUGCUGUUUUGACGUUACCGACAGAAUAAGCACCGGCUAACUCUGUGCCAGCAGCCGCGGUAAUACAGAGGGUGCAAGCGUUAAUCGGAAUUACUGGGCGUAAAGCGCGCGUAGGUGGUUUGUUAAGUUGGAUGUGAAAUCCCCGGGCUCAACCUGGGAACUGCAUCCAAAACUGGCAAGCUAGAGUAUGGUAGAGGGUGGUGGAAUUUCCUGUGUAGCGGUGAAA